rnacentral:rRNA from 1 species
GUCUAGCCUGCCCACUGAGUAAUUUAAGGGCCGCGGUAUUUUGACCGUGCAAAGGUAGCAUAAUCAUUAGUCUUUUAAUUAAAGACUGGAAUGAAAGGUAGAACGAGGUACAAACUGUCUCCAGUGAAGAAGAGAAUUUAACCUUUUAGUUAAAAGGCUAAAAUAGUGUUAGAGGACGAGAAGACCCUAUAGAACUUUACAAACUUAAGUUAAGCUUUUAGUAAAGUCUUUAGCUUAUACCUAAACUUUGUUACGUUGGGGUGAUGGGAUAAUAAAUUAACUUAUCUUAGCUAAACCAUAAUAUAUGAUUAAAGGAUCCACAAAUAGUGAUUGAAAAAUUAAGUUACCUUAGGGAUAACAGCGUAAUCCUUUUUGAGAGUUCUUAUCGAUAAGAGGGGUUGCGACCUCGAUGUUGGAUUAAAGGUAAUUUUAGGUGCAGCCGCUUAAAAUCAGGGUCUGUUCGAC